rnacentral:rRNA from 1 species
CCCUUAGAUGUCCGGGGCUGCACGCGCGCUACACUGAAUGAAUCAGCGUGCUAGAAAACCUUGUUUGACAUGGCUAGGUAACCCAUUGAAAAUCAUUCGUGAUUGGGAUCGGGACUUGCAAAUGUGUCCCUUGAACGAGGAAUUCCCAGUAAGUGCGGGUCAUCAGCUCGCGUUGAUUACGUCCCUGCCCUUUGUACACACCGCCCGUCGCUCCUACCGAUCGAAGAGUUAGGUGGAUUGUUUUGAUCGAUAAGAUUUGACUAUGGUCAACUCUCGUUGUGAAAUUCUGUGAAUCUGACUGUUUAGAGGAAGGAAAAGUCGUAACA